rnacentral:rRNA from 1 species
AUUGAACGCUGGCGGCAGGCCUAACACUUGCAAGUCGAGCGGAUGACGGGAGCUUGCUCCUUGAUUCAGCGGCGGACGGGUGAGUAAUGCCUAGGAAUCUGCCUGGUAGUGGGGGACAACGUUUCGAAAGGAACGCUAAUACCGCAUACGUCCUACGGGAGAAAGCAGUGGACCUUUGGGACCUGCGAUACCAGAUCAGCCACGGUCGGAUUAGCUAGUAGGUUAGGUAAUGGCCCACCAAGGCGACGAGCCGUAGCUGGUCGGAGAGGGAUGAUCAGUCACACUGGAACUGAGACACGGUCCAGACGCCUACGGGAGGCAGCAGUGGGGAAUAUUGGACAAGGGGCGAAAGCCUGAUCCAGCCAUGCCGCGUGUGUGAAGAAGGUCUUCGGAUUGUAAAGCACUUUAAGUUGGGAGGAAGGGCAGUAAGUUAAUACCUUGCUGUUUUGACGUUACCAACAGAAUAAGCACCGGCUAACUUCGUGCCAGCAGCCGCAGUAAGAC